GGCCGCGCUGGCCGGGCUCCGCCUCCCGCCGGCGGUCAGAGACGCCCCCCACGGUCAGCGCUGGGAGGGGGAGGGGGUGACCUGCAGGAAAUGCCGGGCCGGGUUGCCGAGCUUCAGCCCGGAGCCCCUCCUCAGCAAUGCCAGCCGCUUCUGCUGGCGUCAGGAUGCUGCCUUUUCUGGUGUGUAUGUGAGGUCUGAACUGCCCCCAGAGCUGUACUGCAGGAAUUGAAAGCCCAUCUGCAGCACCUGGGUGGAGAAUUUGCCUUCUCCACUCACCACACCAGUAUCAGCUGAUGGUGCAAACUAUGAUGGCUGUGACACUGCAUUUCCUCUUUGGGAUGUCCACCUAGAAGAUGAAAGAGGAGAAAUCGCCAGCCCAGAAUUUGGAACCAGCUGGUUGCACUAAUAGUUUUGUGGUGCCCCUGCUUCAGACUCCCCCCCCCCGCCAUUUGUCUCUCCAUCUUUCUCCCUCUCGAAUCUGACCUGCCAUGUAGUGCCCUAUGCUCUACACCUCCGACUACGCUGUUCCUCUCUCUGUGAAUCUCUUUCUCCUGCUCAUCUGCUGAGAUACAACCUUCUCCUCAAAAACCUUUUUCUCAAAAACUUUCUCACCACUCAUCCAGUGUAUGUCUCACAUUGGUCCCUAGCAAGUGUGACAACUGGGAUCUUGAGGACACUGGACCACUUUGUUUAGCUGUUCAUUCUGUCUAGCUCAGGUUCUUUUGGCUCACUGAUGUGAUAUUUCCAUUGCAGGUGAACAUGCUGCUUUUCCAUGGUGGACUUGGUGGGCAAGACCAUGUCCCUUGCUUCAUUGGUUCAAUGCCAUGAGGCUGGAAGCAAAUUUCUUCACUCUGCCUUUGUUUCUUGCUCAUCAGAGACUGUGACCACCUCUGCUACUGUCUUUCCAGCCAUCCCUUCCCUCACAGACUCUGGAUGUGAUGUUUCCUUCAAACCUACAGCCCCUUGUGCUAAUGAGUGGCUAUCCUUUGUAACAGAAUCAAAUCAGGACCACAGCACUGAUGUGGCUCAAGUCUUCUUCCCCUGGGGUCCAGCCCUUUCAACAAUGAACUCAAGUAUGACAUCGCUGACUACCCCAGUCCUGGCAGACCGCUCUCCCUUUACACCUCCCCAAGCUUUGUUUCUUUGAAAAUGUGUAAGGCUUGUUUCUGUCAGUAGAGUAUAAUUACCUCAAAAGCAGAGACCAUGAUUAUAAUAG
rnacentral:lncRNA from 1 species